rnacentral:rRNA from 1 species
CAACCUGCCGCUUACUCGGGGAUAGCCUUUCGAAAGAAAGAUUAAUACCCGAUGGUAUAAAGAGUUCGCAUGUUCUCUUUAUUAAAGAAUUUCGGUAAGCGAUGGGGAUGCGUUCCAUUAGAUAGUUGGCGGGGUAACGGCCCACCAAGUCUACGAUGGAUAGGGGUUCUGAGAGGAAGGUCCCCCACAUUGGAACUGAGACACGGUCCAAACUCCUACGGGAGGCAGCAGUGAGGAAUAUUGGUCAAUGGACGCGAGUCUGAACCAGCCAAGUAGCGUGAAGGAUGACUGCCCUAUGGGUUGUAAACUUCUUUUAUAAGGGAAUAAAGUGAGGGACGUGUCCCUUUUUGUAUGUACCUUAUGAAUAAGGAUCGGCUAACUCCGUGCCAGCAGCCGCGGUAAUACGGAGGAUCCAAGCGUUAUCCGGAUUUAUUGGGUUUAAAGGGAGCGUAGGUUGACAUAUAAGUCAGCUGUGAAAGUUUACGGCUCAACCGUGAAAUUGCAGUUGAUACUGUAUGUCUUGAGUGUACAAGAGGUGGGCGGAAUUCGUGGUGUAGCGGUGAAAUGCUUAGAUAUCACGAAGAACUCCGAUUG